rnacentral:lncRNA from 1 species
UUUAAUGUUGUACAAAAAUAAUUCUAAGAUUUCUGAUAUGAAUACUCAGUUCUACCAGUUGCCAUAUGUAGAGGCAAGUGGAAGAUUUAAAUACACCCAUUUUGGAAUUGGAUUGAAAUAGUAAACAAAAACAAGUAAAGACAUAGAAGGUAUGAAUAAUGCAAUCAGUAUAUUUGAUUACAUAACUAUGGCUAUACAAGGGGCAGAGGGCUUAAAUUCAUCAAAAAGAGAAUAAUCUUUAUUGUCUAUCUAUUGAAUAUUUACAAAAAUUAACCAUGUACUUAGCUAAAAUGAAUAGCUUAAAUCCAAGAAGUAAAGUGUUUAUAUAUCACAUUCUCAUAAUAUCGUAAAACUAGAAAAAGGGAAUUUAAAAUGUAUCAUAAUUACUUGGGAAUUAAGAAGCCACUCAACUCUUAAAUCAAAGGAAACAGAAAAAUAAAAAUUAUAAACUAAAAAACA